UACGUAGGGGGCGAGCGUUGUCCGAAGUUACUGGGCGUAAAGCGCGCGUAGGCGGGGGGUUAAGUGAGAGGUGAAAGGCUGGGGCUCAACCUCAUGCAGUGCCUCUCAUACUGGCCUUCUUGAGGGCGGUAGGGAGAAGUGGAAUGGCUGGUGUAGCGGUGGAAUGCGCAGAUAUCAGGAGGAACACCAAUAGCGAAGGCAGCUCGCUGGGACGUUACUGACACUGAGGCGCGAAAGCGUGGGGAGCGAACAGG
rnacentral:rRNA from 1 species